rnacentral:lncRNA from 1 species
GAUUACUUUAUUGUGUAGUGUAAAGCUUAUGAAACCAUCAGCAACUAGUGAGUUGCUAACAUGCAUAUGCAUUUGUCACUAUACAGGUGGCACUCAGCUGUACCACUGCAGUUCUGCAGAAAUUGCCAGCACCAGCGGCUUUGCAACAGCUGUUUCACAGCAUGUCGGAGACAAUGCCUACGAAAUUAUUGGCCCUGAUGACGAGAGCCCUCAAGGGGCAAACGACAUCUCUGUUGCAGAAGUGAGCCCGAUACCACCUGAAGUUACCAUGACAGGUGGCACGGCAGCAAUAGAUACAGAGACGGCCGUGUCUACUGCAGCUGCAACAGUGUACGAGGCAAGCAGCAGUGUGUCAGCAUCAGCAGCAGUGUCAGAAGGAACCGCACCAGGCCUGGUACAGCAACAUGUGUGCUAUCACUGUGACUUUUUUUGUAGUGCAUACAACUCAUUUGCUCAACAUACAAAAGCUUUUCACCACGACUGUGAGCCAGUGUUCUUGUGCAGCAAGUGCAAGACUAAGUUAAGUGUUAUAACACAGUACAAGCAUCACUUUAAGAUAUGAAAACAUAUUACAGUUGUUGCCUCCCCAGCCAGCCCACAUAGCGACAACAAUGUGGAACACAUGGUGGGACACACAUCUUCUCCAUUAGAAGAUAGUAGAGACUGUCAGUGUUGUUGUUAGAUUAACUGGUCUUUGUAGGCAACUAGAAGGACAACACAGGUGUCAUAAGAUUGUUGUUUAUGUUGUUGAAGAGGUAAAAAAGAAGUUUGAUGCAGCUGAAGUGCCAACUGAUAUUGAGCAAAUCAAAAACAACCACCUGAGAAAGCAACACUAUCGAAAUUUGGGUAUCUAUGUGCCGCCGACUCUGGUAAGGAUGGCAUAGGACAGAAGUGUGUUGAAAAUCACACACACUGCUGUUCCAUCACUGGUCACAGUGAGCAAUGACUUGUAGGGCAAGAGAGUCAACUGAAACGAACAUUAUGGCAUAGUGUCAUGCUCCCAUGUGACCACUUUCCAUGUUAUUUUGCAUGAUACAGCUCAACCUCCAGAAACGAGACUGCAACUUGUCUGUAAAAAGCUUUCACAAAAAAUUAUUCAUAACACUAUUAACACAGCAGUACCUUCUUUUUUUGUGGGUUCGAGGUUCCCGGGUGUCCAUUAAUGCAAAAAUUGCGGAAACAAAGAACAUGUGCCGUACUUGCACCUUUUUAACACGUACGAGGGGGACAGAACUUUUCUAGUCAUGCAUCUUCAUCAUACUAUCAAGUUUUUAAAUGCCUUUUAUAAUUAUUAUUACCAGUUAUAUCUGAGUGCAUUGUAUGCAUUUAGCAGGUGUAAAAUCAGGUCAGUUGGAUCAGAUGCCUUAGCUGCAAGAGAGCCCUAUAUUCAAGAAAUUUGAAUGAAAAUAAUUACAUUAGAGACGCAGUCUUUCUGCACUUUAUUGCGUGUGGUUUAAGCAUUGCUCAAUACUUUUGUGGAUGGCAGUUUCAACCGGCACAGCACUGCGCUUUGUCACGGUCAAGUGUCUUCAAAGCGGUGUUUACCAUUUGUGUUGAUCUGUUUGUGUAUUCAUAGAGCAAGUUUUUAAUUUAUUUUUUUUCCGCAUUCUUGUGCUUGCACUAAGCUUGUAUAAGGCAGUUACAAAAUGGGCGUCACUAUAACGAACUGUUCUGUUGAGCUUACACUUGCAAAUAAUAGUGUUCAGACGGCCGCACUUCUAUGUAGGUGCACCGAUAGCUUUGUGCAUGUUCUCAUGUUUGUGUAAAGCUUAUAUAAGCUAGUUACAAAAUGUAUGUCACUAAGCAUUGUGAUAUUCUUUAAAGAACUGCUUGGUUGGUUUUACACUUGUGAAUUAGUAUUGAGGCGGUGGUAUUUCCAUGUAGGCCCACUGCUAGCUUUCUGUGUGCUCACAUGUUUGUAUGAAGCUUUUACAAGGGAGUUACAGCAUGUACGUCACUAAGCGCUGUGAUAUUUUUAAAGAACUGCUUUGUUGGUUUUACACCUGUGAGUAAUAGUACUCGGGUGGCACUAGUCAUGUGUAGGUACACAGGGACCAUUUGUAUACAUUAUGCUCAUGUAAAGCAGUUACAAAGUGUAUGUCACUAAUCACUGUGAUAUUUGUUGAAGAAUUGCUGUGAUGGUUUUACACAUGUGAGUAAUAGUGGUCAGGACACAGUACUUGCGAUGUAUAGUUGAACUUAUACAGUGUCAAGACAUGGGUUGUAUACGUACCAAAAGAAAUGUAUGUCAUUAUAUUGUUGUGAUUAUUACUGUUUGGAUUUUAUUAAACUCUAAUAACAUUU